CCACUCCCCAGCUCUUGCCCCCAUCUGCCCAGAGCUUGAAUGGCUGUCCGACAACGUCAGGCUGGCAGCGAGGAGGCAGGCGUGGAUGCUAUGAGAGCUGGAACUGCAGAGCUGUGCUGAGAUGGCUCAGGGCCCAGAGCUGUUUUCUCCCGAGCUGAAGAGGAGAGAAAUCUGACAGCCCUGCCAGUGACAGAGAACUUCAGGAUGGGAGACUAUUUGGGAAACUGCCCUGAAAAAGUCUGCCUUCCAGUGCCUUACCACUCUUUCUGAGAAGAAAUUUUUCUUGGUAUCCAAACUGAACCACCCAUGAUGCAACUUAAGGCCCCACUUGUUCUAUUACUGUUACCUGGGAGAAGAGACCAACCUCCACCUCACUACACCGUAACUCAGGACAGCCUAAGAGGCCUCAGCUGUACCACUUUGUAGUGGAAAUGCUAAGUCAUGGCCUGAAGCAGUGAUUAAGCACCUGGUGGAAGGCAGGACCAACCCAGGGGAGCUCAGCUGCAUGCAAUGGCCCUGAGUGACUGGAAGGGGUAGAACCAGGAUCCACCCUUUCCCAGACCUCAUUUAAGGGUUAGCUGUGGAGGUGAUGGCAUCUUACUGGAAGCCCCUGUGUCCCUGAGGCCUUCUGAAGUUUGCAGGUCUUGGUGUGGACAGAAAAAUCCAUCGCAUGUAGCUGCAAUUACACUGGGACUCAGAAGAUUAGAAGAUGCUUUGCUCUCCUGCUCCUGCUUGCUAGAAUGGAAGAGGUCAUCUAUUUUUAAAGUACUUGGCAGAGGACCAGCACAGGCACUGCAGAUGCGAUACAUCGAGUUCAUCACUGUCUGCUCCUCAUGGCAUGGCCAGAUCAUCAGGUUAUCUUCUACUUGCCUGUUUCCAUGGAAGUCAGCUCUCUUUGGGAUGGCUUACUUCAGCUUCAGCAGCUUUCCAGACCGCAUCUGGGGGUUAACACACCACUUCCACUGAGUGUCACCUUCUUGGAGAGUCAUUAUCUCCAAUUUGUGUGUGGAAGGCAAGGCUUCUAAUUAUACACUGCAGCAAGUGCGUUUUUUAUAAAUAGCACCAAUUGUUCUGCAGGGACAUUUGAAUCUGAAUCAGCUCCUCUUCAUUUUCGCAGUCUGUCUCCCAUGUGCGAGGAUAUUUUUUACUAAGGAAACUCAAGUGGAUCAUGUGUGACACAAAGGCUGGGGCACUAGAAUGGGAUUUGGAAGUCUGGAAUCUGCUGCAGGCCAUGGUGGUUUCGUCUGCUGUGUGAGCAGAGGCCAUCUCGCUUCCCUGUCACACCCAAGUCCCUGGUGCAAAGCUCUCUGGAUGAGUGUUACUCUUGCUACAGCAUCCAGCCUCACUGUAUGUGGAAACAUCACUGUAAUAAGGG
rnacentral:lncRNA from 1 species